GAUGAACGCUGGCGGCGUGCCUAAUACAUGCAAGUCGAGCGAACGGACGAGAAGCUUGCUUCUUUGAUGUUAGCGGCGGACGGGUGAGUAAAACGUGGAUAACCUACUUAUAAGACUGGGAUAACUUCGGGAAACCGGAGCUAAUACCGGAUAAUAUUUUGAACCGCAUGGUGCAAAAGUGAAAGACGGUCUUGCUGUCUCUAAUAGAUGGAUCCGCGCUGCAUUAGCUAGUUGGUAAGGUAACGGCUUACCAAGGCAACGAUGCAUAGCCGACCUGAGAGGGUGAUCGGCCACACUGGAACUGAGACACGGGCCAGACUCCUACGGGAGGCAGCAGUAGGGAAUCUUCCGCAAUGGGCGGAAGCCUGACGCAGCAACGCCGCGUGAGUUAUGGAAGUCUUCGGAUCGUAAAACUCUGUUAUUAGGGAAGAACAUAUGUGUAAGUAACUGUGCACAUCUUGACGGUACCUAAUCAAAAAGCCACGGCUAACUACGUG
rnacentral:rRNA from 1 species